GGCGCUAAUCUGCCCAGGAAGAGCCGCCCGCGCUCUUUCUUUUUCCCGCGGAGCUUGUGCGCGCGUGAGAUGAAGGGACAUGGGCUGCUGACCAGAUACUUUUGCUUCUGCCCGUUGGAUGGGAUUUGAGCGGCUGAUCCGGUGCCUCAAGGCGCUGCGUGCCUUGCUUAAGGCGAGGCACCGGAUCUCAGUCCACGCCUCCUUCCCCUUUCCCUGCCUCCAUCUCCUUCCUUCCCACCCAGCACCCGCCUCCAUCUCCACCCCUCCCAGCACCGUGCCUCUCUCUCUUGGCUCCGCUCGCUGUUCCAUCUGCCGGUGGCAGCGCCGGCCCCGGCCGCCGCCCAACUAAUGGCGAAAUCCGGUGCCCUCAAGGAGACGGCGCGGCAGUCCGCCCACCGGCCACCUCGCCGCCUCAUCAAUUUCCUGGCGCCCCGACGAGCACCUGCUCGAAUCCCUCCCCACCAUCACAGUUCUUCCCCAACGCCCCAACGAGCUCCUCCGCCAUCCCCUCAACACCUCCGCACUUCUACUCCGUCGGCCCGACGGCCUCCUCUGCCAAUGCCAUCCCCUCUUUGAAUCAAUGGAGGCCAAUGUACAGAAGGUUUGCUUGGUUUUGGAUAAAUGCCACCAAUGCACAUGUAUAAUUUCCAGCCACCACCAAUGCACCAUCGUGAAGUAGGAAACCAAAGGAUGGAGAAUUACCACUUUGUUGGUACUUCCCCACAUGAAUCCUUCUCAACACCACCACCACCACCACCACCACAACCUAAAGUUGCAUCACAGUCUACUCAUGCCAAAGUGAAUUCAACAACUUCUUCCAAAAAGAAAAAGAAAGGUUGUCACUGUCAACGACGAUGGCGAUGAACCGAGCGAAAGGACCGCACAACGUCUGACCUAUACACCCGAGGAACAUGUCCGAUUGGCAAGCGCAUGGUUGGAGUGUUCAGUUGAUCCCAUCCAAGGGAAUGGUAAGAAGAGUGAAAAGUUUUGGGAUGACAUUGCUGCUCUAUACAACAGUACCACACCAAGCAACCGAAAGAAAGAUCGGAAUCAAUUGAAGCAAGAGUGGUAAAGGACCAAGAAAAGGCUCUGUGCUUUCCAUGGUCAGUGGAUUGGAGUCAAUGGUGUGUAUCAUAGUGGUUUCAGCGCCGUGGACCUGGAGACAAUGGCCUUGGAGCAUCUCUAGUAGAGCCCGAAAAAAUGCAAAUCGAAAAGCGCGAGUUUAGUUCACCGAAAACGCAAGUUCUGUCGAAUUUCGCAGUGGCGCAGAAUAGAACUCGUAAAAUGAAACUGAAAACUGGAAUUCGAAUUGGCGCGGGUAAGU